CAGUCACAGACUGAUGAGACACGAAAGGUCAAGUGGCAUUCCAUUUUAAGAGUACUGUCUUAUUUAGCAGGAGUGAAAACAAUGGCUCUGUAAUCCAUGUCUAUAUUUAACCUGCUAUUGUGAUGUGCUGUAUUGCUGCUGCUUUUUUUUUCUUUUUAUUUAAACCAGCAUUUGAAACAACACAUCUAGAGACUCCCUAUUAGAAGAAGUCAGAUCCUGAAAUUCCAGAGCCCCAAAGGAAUCAGGAAUGAAUGCAGCAAAUUCCACUGUUACCUACUGAGACAGAUGUUUAAAAGUGUCCAUAUAUAUGCAUAUGUAUAGCAGGAUCGGAUGCUCCAGAUUACCACCUCAUCAAACCUGCCAUCCUCACAGCACCUGGAGCCACCACAUACCCUGAAAUAAAACCUGCCUUUCAUCAGGAAAUCCAGCCAGAUGGGAGGAUACUGACAGAAUCACAAGCUCCAGACAACUGUGGUUGUCACUGCCAUACAAAAGACCCUGCUCCAACUUGCUUUCUGCUGUGACUUUCCACUGAGAGCAAACCACGUAUAAGCACCACAGAUGCUGUAUCUGCAUCCAUUCGGUUUAGCGGUCUUUGUGCCAGAGCUCUUGGCGUCAUGUCAGCCCCAAGAGGAACUGGCUGUGCCUGCAAGUUUCUUUACAGAUAAAUAACCUGCUUUGCUGUUGCUGCUGUUAAUACAGAGGAAUUGGGAGUUUCAUUCUGUUCUCAAAAAAGCUGAUUUUGCAUGCAAAAGCACAAAAGCCAAGAACAGAUACGGAAAAUAACUACUGAAGAGACUUGAUGACUGUCUGUUGCAGUUUUUCUUUGUAGGUUUAGCUACUACAGCACCUAGCUGCAAUGUGAACUGUUGGUGUAUACAGUUUCAGGAAUUAAAAAAAUGGACAUAUUGCAAAGUCUCAGGUUUCUAAUGAACAUUUUAAUUCACAGCUUUUCUCUGAACUCACAGCAUUUGGAGCAAAGCAGACUGACCACUGGUGUCAGCUUGAUGUAAGCUAAGCGCAGGACUACCUACAUAGAAGGAACUGCAAACUCCACCUCAAAAUAUUUCUUUAAGAGCACUCCCUUAGCAGACUAAAACCCAUUUAAACUUAAAUACUUGGUUCUUCAGCAAGAAUAAAAACACAGCUUUAAUGAAUAGGGCCAAAAAAGAAGUUUCUCUUGAUGUUUCUCCCAGAAAACUUUUCUGUUUUCAGCUAGCCGUAGCACUCAAGGGUAAAAAAGAAUCUGUCAGAACAGGAACACAGCAACCUUCUAUCUUGUUUUUACGUGGCUUACCAGAAGGUAAGGUUGAAAUAAUUGCUGCUUGUUCUGCUUUUAACCUUUUUGUUAUUAUAUGCUAACUACUGCAGCACACCUUUUUAAAACACUCCUAAACAAAGCGGGAGGUUCUUUUAAGAACAGUAGAGGCCCCAGAAAUGCCACACACACAGCC